rnacentral:tRNA from 1 species
AGGAGUGUAGCUCAGUCUGGUAGAGCAGCGGUCUCCAAAACCGCCGGUCGUGGGUUCGAAUCCUACCACUCCUGCCA